rnacentral:misc_RNA from 1 species
GUCAAAAAAAAAAAAAAUUUAAGAUACUAUUGAAAAAAGUUGUUUAGUUAUUUUGGAUUUCUUAUAACUAAAACAUGUCAAUUUAACUUUAAGCUAGUUUUCAAUACCAUCUAACUAUCAUAUUCAAGGAGAUGUUUUUCCUAACAACAGCUCCAAUAAUAAUACUAAACAGACCCUAAGAUUUUUAAGGACAUUUAUGGGGUAAACCUCUACUAAAGCGAUUGCCAAUUACAAUGAACAGUUGGAUCUUGUACCAUAUUUUACUGUAUUUAUAUGAAUAUAUAAAGAAUAUUAAGGAAAUUGAAAGUAUAAAAUAAUAAACCUUAUGCUAGAGGCGUUGCCAGCAGUAACUGUGCCUCCAUUCUCUUUG